ACAUAAAUUAUGCAUGUGCAUUUUUUUGCAAUAUUAAUGAUAUUCUCUUGUACGAUAGGUCUUUAAUUUGAAAUGAGCUUCUAUUAAAGUGUGUAAACUAUUUAUAGAUGUCUGGAACAAUGAGAGCUGUAAACUUUGAACCCGGUGGUCCAGAGAAUCUACGGAUAGGAUCAGUGCCCGUUCCAAAACUCCGAGAGAAAGAAGUACUCCUGAAAGUGUAUGCCACAGCAAUCAACAGGGCCGAUACUCUGCAGAGGAAAGGUCUUUACCCCCCACCCCCAGGGGAGUCGGACAUCCUCGGACUGGAGGCCGUGGGAAUAGUAGAGAAGUUAGGAUCGGGAUGUGUCAAGACAUGGAAGAUCGGGGACCGAGUUAUGGCGCUGCUCCCAGGUGGGGGUAAUGCUGAGUUUGUGGCAAGCAGAGAGGAGCUGUUGAUGCCUGUCCCAGACAACAUGGAGUUUAACCAGGCAGCAGCCAUACCCGAGGUCUGGCUCACAGCAUUCCAGCUUUUAUUUCUUGUUGGCAAAGUGAAGAAGAAUGACACGGUGCUGAUACACGCCGGCGGUAGUGGGGUGGGAACCGCCGCGGUGCAGCUCUGUCGACAGUUUGGAGCCCGCACUAUUGUGGUGGCCGGAUCUCAAGAGAAGAUCGACUUUGCAAAAUCUUUGGGGGCAGAAGAAGGCUUUAAUUACAAGGAGUCAAUGUUUGAGCCAAAAGUCCUGCAACACACUGAUGGGAAGGGAGUAGACCUGAUAUUGGACUGUGUGGGAGGAUCUUUCUUCAGCCAGAACAUCAACUCCAUAGCUACAGAGGGUACAUGGGUCGUGUAUGGCCUCAUGGGUGGGAGGACAAUAGAUACAGGAGAUCAUUUAGGCAAAAUCCUACAGAAGAGGAUCACCAUAGUGGGGUCCACACUGAGGACCAGGUCAAUACAGUAUAAGGAAUCUCUGAUAGCUGAUUUUACACAGCGGGCCCUGCCCCACUUCAGCAGCGGCGAGUUCCGGCCCAUCAUUGACACCACCCUCCCUCUGGACAGUAUCCAGGAGGCCCACACACUGAUGGAGUCCAACAAGACCACUGGCAAAAUCGUCCUCCAGGUCAGGGACCAGGUCAAGGACGAACUCUAGUGAACUCAGUAAUCAUAGACUGAUCUCAGGUAGAGGAGAACUCUUGGUCACUCAUUAAUCUGUAAAUCGUGAAUUAAGUGAUCGCAGAAUUAAGAAUGGGAUCAGGGACUGGGCAGCGCCACACAGACUACAGUUUAUGGACAAUGUAUUAAGAUAAGGUGCACUUGUUUGUUGAUUUCUUACAUUAAUAAAGUUAACCUAUUUUU
rnacentral:misc_RNA from 1 species